GACGAGCGCUGGCGGCGUGCUUAACACAUGCAAGUCGAGCGGUAAGGCCCUUUCGGGGGGUACACGAGCGGCGAACGGGUGAGUAACACGUGGGUGACCUGCCCUCAGCUCUGGGAUAAGCCUGGGAAACCGGGUCUAAUACCGGAUAUGACUCCAUGACGCAUGUUGUGGGGUGGAAAGCCUUGUGCGGCUGAGGAUGGGCCCGCGGCCUAUCAGCUUGUUGGUGGGGNGAUGGCCUACCAAGGCGACGACGGGUAGCCGGCCUGAGAGGGCGACCGGCCACACUGGGACUGAGACACGGCCCAGACUCCUACGGGAGGCAGCAGUGGGGAAUCUUGCGCAAUGGGCGAAAGCCUGACGCAGCGACGCCGCGUGAGGGAUGACGGCC
rnacentral:rRNA from 1 species